rnacentral:rRNA from 1 species
UACGUAGGUGGCAAGCGUUGUCCGGAAUUACUGGGCGUAAAGGGCGUGUAGGCGGCUUUUUAAGUCAGACGUGAAAUCUCUGGGCUUAACCCAGAAAUUGCGUUUGAAACUGGAAGGCUUGAGGAUCGGAGAGGGUAGUGGAAUUCCCAGUGUAGCGGUGAAAUGCGUAGAUAUUGGGAGGAACACCAGUGGCGAAAGCGGCUUCCUGGUCCAGCACCGACGUUCAGGCACGAAAGCGUGGGGAGCAAACAGG